rnacentral:rRNA from 1 species
GACGAAGGGGGCAAGCGUUGUUCGGAAUUACUGGGCGUAAAGGGCGCGUAGGCGGUGUGUCAAGUCAGGCGUGAAAGCCCCGGGCUCAACCUGGGAACCGCGCUUGAGACUGGCACGCUCGAGUUCGGGAGAGGAUGGUGGAAUUCCCAGUGUAGAGGUGAAAUUCGUAGAUAUUCGGAAGAACACCAGUGGCGAAGGCGGCUCACUGGACCGGCAUUGACGCUGAGGUGCGAAAGCGUGGGGAGCAAACAGGG